rnacentral:lncRNA from 10 species
UCCAAACUCAGCAGAGCACACAUCAGAGUGUGUUUAGUUCAUCUGGGCUGGUGAGUUCCAGUGAUGAAAGCCUGGUGCUAAUGGAGGCGAGGUCACCGGUUCAAUCCUCAUAGGACCCAGUUCACUUACAAGAGAAAAAACACUACUCAAGAACCAGAGACACCUCCUGACCCCAGUCACUGACCACAAGAAGGAUGGGGUGAAAACGAUGGCUGACCCAGGGCAAAACCAUCUGAUAAACAACUCAGACAGCACACCCCCAACCCCCAGCAGGAGAAGCCAGCACCUUCUAGUUUAAGGAUUUUAUAAAACCGCUUUUAUAAAAAUCCCUGCGGACAAGUUCACAGUAGCUGACUCCCCAAGAUGAGACGUGCUGCUUUAGGUAACCUUUGGGUCCUUUCUGCUUGGGAAAUUCCUUUGUCCCCUUUAGUUCACCCCAGAAGGGCCCCAGUGUGUUGCACCGGGAGGAGAUUUAGCCUCCCGGGGGCCAGGGUCAGGGGAGGGAGCUGUGGGACGCAGAACCUGCCUGCUCUGCAGGUCUGAAGGAGAGACUGUUGAACUUCACAGACUUCCGGAAAAACAGGCGGUGAGGGAGGUGGAGGGGAGGCGGGGAGGGGGCUGCUGUGUUUAUCCAAGUGCUCCAGCGGCUGCGGGAGUUUUCUGCUUGUGUUUAUAUUUUCAGAAGGGGGCUGAAGAGCUAUGCCCAGACUGGAGCACGAGUCUGCUUGCUGGUGUGUUUCUCAGUCCAGUUUGAUUUUUUAAAGGUACCCUCCAUGGGACAGAACUCUGCUUACAAACUUUAAAACUGGAUGAUGCAAAAAUUACCUGCACAGCAGAGGAGGACAACGAACCAUAGUAAGUUUAAGUGAUGGAUUCUUUAAUCUAUCAUUAAUUUGUACAGAUAAGUCAAAGAAAGGUAGUAGCAGAUACGGAGCCCUCGCCGUGUACGCAACGCUUGACAUCCUUUCUCACUGAGUCCCCACAGUAGACCUAGUGCUGCCAUUUUGCAGUUACAUAUUUUUAAAAAGAAACAAAAGACAAAAACAAAACAAAGGCAAAAAUACUGGCUCUCAAGCAGAAAAUAUUUAAAAGGCUAUAAAAGGCAUGGAGUAGAAGAAAUAAAAAGGUAACCAAAGUAAGAGUGAAAUCUAUCAACUUCAUGCUUUUCCUUCUAAGUCUGGAGUAGUAGGUAAGGGGCAGUGACACCAACAGGGCUUGUGAUCCCACACACCUAAUAUCAUUCACGCAGAGUUUAGAGGUAGUUUAGUACUGUAAAAAAAAGUAUGACUUUGAAAUUAAAAACUCCCUAGCUCAAAUCCAAGCUCCACUGUUUAUGAGUUCUGUGGUCUCAGGCAAGUUACAUUUCUCUCACCCCUUUCUGUACAAAAAAGAAUAUUCCUUACUUUUAGGAUGAUUGUGGCAAUUAAUAGAAGUUUUAAAUUUUAAGAUUCUAGAUGGUAUUUUGCAUGUAAUAUGAUAUGAACUAAUAUAACGCGCAGCCCUCAUGAAAGGGAUUAUCUUUAUAAUAAGAUAGAAGAGAGCUUGCUUCACCCUGGUGUACACCAUAUGAUGAUACAGCAAGAAGGUGGCCUCCUGCCAACCAAGAAGAGAGCCCUCACAAGAACUCAACCAUGCUGGCACCCUGAUCUCAGACUUCAGUCUCCAGAGCUGUGACAGCAUAAACUUCUGUUUAAGCCGCCUAGCAUUCUAGUAGCCACCCGUCUCUAGUAUCCUUCAGAGCAGCCCAAAUGGACUAAGACAUAAUAGGUACAUAAUAAACAAUAGCUAUCAUUCUGGCUGUUUUUUGGUAUUUGGCAAUCUGGUAAAUAAAUAGCAGAAAGUAAG